rnacentral:lncRNA from 1 species
AUGCCCACCCUCGGAAAGGCCAGGGCUUCAUAAUUGUAUGCAACUCGCUUGCAGGCACAUGCUGUAUGCCCCCAUGCAAUUGGCAUUCCUAACAGCUUUUAGCAAAUUCAAUGCAAUCUUUCAACAUUGAAGGCCAAUAAACUCCUGAGCGCAUCAAAAGCCAUAUCAUCUUCAGUCCCGCUUGAUGCGCCCCACACGCUCCACUAUGUACACUAGACACAACCACAUAUGCCUCACUUUCUCCUAGGCAUUUUAGUAAAAGUCCUUCAGCUAUCUUUUUGAACAAUUCAUCAUUCACCAGAACGUAGCUAAGGGCCCUAUAUUUUACCUUUCGAUCUAUCGACCCUAUAGGAUUACGUAAAUAAUCGACUAGCGAUUUACGCCAAUCACUUUCCCCCUCGUCGUCGACGGUCAGAAUUUUAAAAUGGUAUUUAUCUACAGCUCCCAACUUUAUAAUCGACAAAUCUGAUGGUGAUAACGAUGUCGCUCGUACCUUCUCUCUCACUUGGACCUCUUCUCCAUCCUGGUCUUUUAAUGCUUUGUACCCUUAGGCUUCCUGCGCCAAAUCGUUUGCUCUCUGGUUCUCUUUUCGUGGUAUGUGUUGGAGGCUUACUUGCUCAAACCUCUUGAGUAAUCUGAUGGUAACCACAAAAUACAUGAUUAAAUUUUCUUUAACACACCUGUAUUCUUUUGAUACCUGCUUAAUUACUAACUCAGAAUCUCCCAUAAUUUUGACAUUCCUUGCCCCCAAUUCUAGCAGAAGUUCAAGUCCUGUAAUCAACGAUUCAUAUUCUGCUUCAUUGUUUGUGCAUACUCCUUCAAUUCUGUAUUUGAACUCUGCUGGAAUUCCAUCUGGAGAAAUCAUGACUCCCCUUAUCCCAGAUCCGUUCUUAUGCCUUGAACCGUCGAAGUAUAGUCUCCAUGGCAUUAUGUCUACGUAAUUUUGCGCCAUUUCGACCAUUGAAUGGUCGACAAGGAAAUCUGCCACCACUUGCCCUUUCAUCGCUUUUAAAGGCGCGUACGUCAGAGAAUACUCAAUUAAUGCUAAAGCCCAUUUACCAAUUCGACUAUGCAAAAUUGGUUUAGAUAACAUGUGCUUAAUAAUGUCAAAGUGAGAAGAUACAUACACAUCAACAGGCUUAAUAUAUUGCUUUAGUUUCAUACAAGAAAAAUACAGGCAUAGACAUAGUUUUUCUAUAUCAUUAUACCUAGUUUCAGGAUCAUUAAGCAUUCGACUAAGGUAAUACACAGGUCUUUCGACACAUUUUUCAUCCUCUUGGACUAACAUACUUCCUAUAGCCGAUUCUGAAGCUGCAAUAUACAACCUCAUUGGCCUAUUCCUAACAGGAGGGGCCAGUACUGGAGGCUUAGUCAAAUACUCUUUAAUUUUGUCGAAAGCCUCUUGGUGCUCUUCUUGCCACUUAAAGUCAUUGGCCUAUUCCUAACAGGAGGGGCCAGUACUGGAGGCUUAGUCAAAUACUCUUUAAUUUUGUCGAAAGCCUCUUGGUGCUCUUCUUGCCACUUAAAGUCCUCAUUCUUCAGUCGAAGGAGUGGUAAAAAGGCUUUAGUUUUGCCACUCAAAUUUGAUAUAAAUCUUCUAAGAAAAUUUAUUUUGCCCAACAAAGAUUGUAGUUCCUUUCUGGUCGAUGGAGGCUUGACGUCCAUAAUGGCUUUUGUUUUGUUUUGGUUUACUUCAAUACCUUUUUUAUGCACCACAAAGCCAAGGAAAUCGCCCGCCUGCACACAAAAAGCACACUUUAAUGGAUUCAUUUUUAAUCCACAUUUCCUCAUCCUUAAAAAGGCCUUUCGGAGAUGUUCGACGUGAGUAAGUCGACCAUUUGAUUUUAUCACAAUAUCAUCAAUGUAUACUUGCAUGAAAUCUUUAAUAAAAUCAUGGAACAUUGAGUUCAUUACCCUCUGAUAUGUCGCUCCGGCAUUUUUCAGGCUGAAUGGCAUGACAACCCACUCAUAUGUACCUAAGGCUCCUGGGCAUCGAAACGCCAUCUUCGGCACAUCUUCUUCUGCAAUAAAAAUUUGGUUAUAUCCAGAAUAACCAUCUAACAUACUUAAAUAUUCAAAACCAGCGGCAAAAUCGACCAACAUUUUUGUUAUGGGCAUGGCAUACUCAUCUUUGGGGGUAGCAGCAUUUAGAUCUCUAAAGUCAAUACAUACUCUUAAAGACCCAUUUUUCUUAAUUACUGGCACAAUAAUGGCCAACCAUUCAACAUACCUUGCAGUUUGUAUAAACUUGCUUUUGAGGAGCCUUUCUACCUCAGCUUUUAUCUUUGCCAUGAUCUCUGGUGUGAAACGUCUAGGCGUCUGCUUUACUAGCUUUCUUCCAGUUUUUAUUGGCAGUUUUAGUUCAACCAAAUCCCUACUUAAACCAAGCAUUUCGUUAUAAUCCCAAGCAAAACAAUCCUUAAAUUCUUUAAGUAAAGAUAUUACCUUAGAUUUUAACUCUUUGUCGAUCUUAGCGCUGAUGUAUGUUGGCCUUUUGUCGCCAUUUUCUCCAAGGUCGACUUCUUCUAAGGGGUCUUUUGGUCGCAUCUUUUCUGGCGCCUUUGGGUCUUUUUCAAACCCUAAAGGUUCGUCAUCAUAAACACAGUCCAAACGCUGCACGUUGACGUUUCCUUUAGCCAAAACUGGCUUAUCUGGAGGCUCUGGCUCAAUAGCCAAAUUACCUUCUUUCCCUAACACAUAGGCUCCGACAGCCAUGUUUUCUUCAGCCUCUAGAGCCGAUUUUAUUUUGUUCUCGGAAACGUAUGCUGAAAUCCUUUUUAGAGCUUCUAGCUCAGUCAUCAUCAGUGACAUCCCCCCAGCCUGUCGGCCGGAUACCUGUAUAGGGUGGAUCAUCCAAACGUUCCACAUCCCAAAUGAAGCCAUGAGUCUCGUGCAGAGUUAGAGAAACAAAAGCUUCACUCAGAUUAGCGUACACAUCCUCAGCUGGAAAACAAGGAGAAAUGUUGGCCAGCUUUCUCUCGAAUUCCUUCUUGCCGACAUUGUUCACGUCAGCCAUGAAGUACCCUUGGUCAGCUUCGAUAUUUUUAACCACUCCAUCUUCUCUCCAAAUCACCAAUCUUUGAUGUGCUGAAGAUGGUACGGCUCCGACACCAUGGAGCCAUUCUCUGCCGAAUAGCAAGUUGUAGCUUGGCUUGGCAUCUAUCACCAUAAAUAGUAUCGGUCUAGUUAUUGAACCAACCGUGAUAUUCACCAUGAUCACACCCAUGGUGCUUUUCGUUUUGCCCCCGUAGUCGGACAAGACCACGUUGUUGGAUCUAAUAUCAGUAUCAUAUUUGUCAAUCUUCCUCAGAAUAUGGUGUGGCAUGAUGUUGACAGUGGCGCCACAAUCUACCAACACUUUGUUGAUAGUCACACCUUCCACUUUGGCCCUAAUCAACAAUGGUUUCAAAUGGUUUUUCAUAGUCAUCAUGGGCCUUUCAAAAACUGCUUCUUGGCUCUCAGCAGAACCAUCAUUUAACACAAAGUAGCAUCUUGGCUGGUGUAAAGCCAUUUCUUCAGCGUCAGCAUCAUCUACCGACUCUUCCACCUCAGUCACACAAUUAUAUUCUUGUGGUAGAAUUGACACCACGUUGACUAAGAUGUCCAGACUUGCUUCAGAUUCUGAAUUGAAGUCAUCAGAACAUUUCUCAGUUGGUCGACGGACAUACUCUCUGAUUCGUUCUUUUGCUGCUGUGUCGACCUUCACAACAACUUUCUUUCCAGCAUUCCCCCCACUGGUCAUGCCUUUUCCAGCUAUUCCUCUAGCAGCCUCUCUUUCGGCCUGCUUACGUCUCUGAAAGUGUCUCCAUUGAGUCCUCGACAUGGGGUUCUUCCCUAAAUAAUUCUCAGAGACAUGAGUCCUUUUCUCAGACUUGAACUCACGCCUGUAAUUAAUUACUAGACGUCCUCUAGCAGCAGCAACCCCUUGUGGGGUUUCUUGUUUCCCCUGAGGCUUGACCCAGGUGCCUCUAGAACACUUGUCGACGGUACGAAGCUCCUAGGCCUCGCCUGAGCAUAUUCCACAGCCUUCUUUGGGACUUUUUCAUUCUGGCGCUCUCUGUUUAGCCCACUUCUUUUGCUUUUACCCAAUUGUAGCUUCUGGAAAUUUUCAGCAGCUAUUUUAUCGGUGACAGUACCACAUCUAGGACACAAGCAAACUUGUGAACCCUCAUUCUUGCAUCGAUACAGGAAAUCUACCAAAUCUUCAUCAGCCCUUGGAUAGACUUCAGCUAUGUCGAUAUCUGGGCUUUCACCAGUUUGCUCCAGCAUGUCGGCCUCAUCGUAUUCGGUGAUCUCGACCAUGUUGAUCUCGACUGGCUCCACGAAUAGAGCUUCCUCCUGGUGGAGAGUGUAACACCCUCUUUUUCUAACCCCAAAUACUUAAUAUAAAUUAGAGUAAAUAGACACGCAUACAACACAAAGGGCGUCAAUCGACGUUUUCAAAAACUAAAAGCUUUCAAAAAACAACAAACACACCUGGUCCAUUCAAAUAACCAUUUCACUUAUCAUGAAUUCAAACAGAUAUGCAGUUCCACCAAAAACGGAAAAAUACGAAUAUCCUGCAUAUUAUAAAAAUGAUCAGUCCAUACCAUGUCAUUCUCUCAACAAUCAUCUCAAGAUAAAAUAAAGUAAGUAAUAAAUAAUGAUAUCCCAAUCCGAUAAUGAGUUCAAUCUACCAUCUUCCUAGUGUUCAUGACCAGAGAUUGAUCUACUAAUCUCAAUACUAAAAUACAAGAGAACUCUCCAGUAUCUUGAGCGCUACCUCACUUUCCCAAUGCUACUUGUAGUAUCUGCACGAUACCCCAUGUUAAAGUACAUUCAAACAGAAAGGUGAGAAUUUUCAAAUCAUAUGAAAAGAUAAUAAGGCACAAUGUUCAAUCAACUCUCAAAAGUUCAUCACAUAUUGUGCAUAUCAUGUCAAUAUCCAUAUAACCAGUUUUAUUUCGCAUAUUUCAAACAUACCUAGGCUAGAGUGGUGGAGNNNNNNNNNNNNNNNNNNNNNNNNNNNNNNNNNNNNNNNNNNNNNNNNNNNNNNNNNNNNNNNNNNNNNNNNNNNNNNNNNNNNNNNNNNNNNNNNNNNNNNNNNNNNNNNNNNNNNNNNNNNNNNNNNNNNNNNNNNNNNNNNNNNNNNNNNNNNNNNNNNNNNNNNNNNNNNNNNNNNNNNNNNNNNNNNNNNNNNNNNNNNNNNNNNNNNNNNNNNNNNNNNNNNNNNNNNNNNNNNNNNNNNNNNNNNNNNNNNNNNNNNNNNNNNNNNNNNNNNNNNNNNNNNNNNNNNNNCAUGCAUAUUAUAAAAUGAUUCAUGUCCCAUACCAUGAUCAUCUCUCAACAAUCAUCUCAAGAUAAAAUAAAGUAAGUAAUAACGUAAUGCAUAUCCAAAUACGAUAUGAGUUCAAUACUACCAAUCUACCCAGUGUUACAUGACCAGAGCAUUGACUCAUUACCUAAUCUCAAACUAAAAUACGGGAACUCUCCAGCUAAUCUUGAGCGAGCUACCGUCCACUUACUCCAGCAAUACUACUCUGUAGUAUCUGCACGAUACCCAUGUAAAGGUAACAUUCAAACAGAAAGGGUGAGAAUUCAAAUCAUUAUGAAAUAGCAUAAUAAGGCACAAUGAUUAAAUCAACAAUUAAAAGAAUUCAUCACACUUUGUAUAAUCAUGUCAAUAAUAUUAACCAGUAUUUAUUUCGCAUAUUUCAAACAUACCUCAAUACUCAAGGAGUUAAUAUUAAAAUUCAAUACAAUAUUCUCAAAUAUACACAUAACCACAAUUAUCACAUAAUCACAUAUUUCACCAAGUUAGGUAUCCAAACAUCACCAAAUUCAACUACUAUAACUCGUACACACAUCACAAUCACAAUAAUACAACAUUCAACUGUGACUCAAUGCAAGACAUGUGACUCUAUGCAUGUGGUACCUCAAUGUGAACCCAAAGUUUCACCGCUUUCCGAUUCAAUAUCUAGAAUCCAAGCCACACUCCGAUCCGGACAAGAUCAAAGCCACUACGCCUAUUUCCAGUUAAGGAUCAACGUCUAUAUGGACCCAACGUUCCACCACUUUCCGAUUCAAUAUCUAGAAUCCAAGCCACUACGCCUAUUUCCAAUUAAGGAUCAACGUCUAUUACCAUGUGAACCCACAGUUUCACCACUUCCAUAAUGAAUUCGACCAUGCUAUGAAUGAAUGCACACAUACCAACACAUAUGCAAUUAAGAUCAUCUCUACCAUCUUAACCUUCCACAUAUCACCAUAAUCCAACUCUAUGAAUUAUCCCCCACUGGUACAUAUACACCCUCAUAACAAUAUAUCAUUCACAAUUAUAGGUUAAUUAUCAAUUAUGUACACAUAGAUUUCAUCCUAAAACGAAUACAGCAUUUAAAUAUCAUUUUUUUCACUUUUCAAACAGUGUUAACUUGUUAACGCAUUUGGUUAACCUAUUAACGCAAGACAGAAUACAAAUUUAACAGGUUUUCAACACUGUUAACCGGUUAACGCCCUGGGUUAACCUGUUAACGCAAGACAAAAUGCAAUUUUAACAGUAUUUCAACAGUGUUAACCUGUUAACGCAUUUGGUUAACCUGUUAACGCAAGACAGAAUACAAAUUUAACAGGUUUUCAACAGUGUUAACCUGUUAACGCAUUUGGUUAACCUGUUAACGCAAGACAUAAUACAAAUUUAACAGGUUUUCAACAGUGUUAACCGGUUAACGCCCUGGGUUAACCGGUUAACGCAAAACAGAAUGCUAUUCCUGCGUUAACAACGAAACAAAAUGCAGAAUUCUCCGCGUUUCUCAUCGUUGGAGGACCUUCGGACCUCCGAUUUCGAUUCCGUAAAAAGCUACACGUUCAGAAAAUUAUAACUCACGCCAUAGAACAUAAAUUUACGGUUUCAGCACAAUCCAAUCAUCACAAAUCAAGAGUAUUUAUCAAACCUAAUAAUUACAAAACCAUGCAAAUUAAGGAUUUCGACCUAAACAUGUUCCUACCCAUUGACUUGAUCAUGUUAACCCAUAAUAAUAAGGAUUCCCCCUUACCUCUUCAAUUUGAUGGAAACCCUAGAUUCUCUUUACUUUUCCUCUCCUCUUUCUCUAUUGCCUUUAAUGAUCAACUGAAUUCUAACUCUCACUCUCCUCACCUCUUACUAUUUAUAUUAGUAUUCUCUUUGGGCUUAAAUCAUGAUAUUCAUCUAAUUUAAUCACUAGACCCAAUAAUACAUAAUAUUUAAAUAUCUCUAUUUAAAUUCAAAUAAAUUAACCAAAUCAACAUACACUCUAAGUUAAUUAAUAUAAUUAUUUAAUUAUAUCUCAUAUCAACUAAAUAAUUAAUUAAUACACCAAUUCAAUUAGUAUAGUCAAUUAUUAUACUACCUAACAACCAAUUAAUUAAUUACCACUCCACAUAAUUAAAAUACAAUAUAAUAAUAAUAAUAUAAUAAAUAAAUACUAAAAUUGGGUUGUUACAGAGAGGGUCAGCGUCGAUCUUCAUUCUGCGGCCAGCAAAUUUCAGCCUGCCUUCUUGAAUCGCUUUCUGAACCAGAUCCCUGAAAAGGUAACAAUUAGAGGUAUUAUGACCAAGAUAAUUAUAAUACUUACAAAAUCCUCUUUUCUGUCUUUGUUCUAAAGGUGGUAUUUUAGUACCAGAUGGCACCACCAUUUGGCCAUCUUUAACUAACAAAUCAAAAAUUUCCUCACACUUUGUCACAUCAAAAGUAUAAGUUUUCAAAGGGAAUUUUGGAUUGUUCUCGACAGGAUUUUUUCCUUGCGCAGGAAGUAAUGAUCGACACUCAUAGGCAUAUCCUGGCUUUAACUCAGCCACAUCAAUUUCUAAUUCGGUCGAUGAGGUAUAAUCAGCCUCAUAUAUUGGAUUUGUCGCGUCAUAGUCGACAAACGCCACUUUUUCUUUCUUAGCCUUAUUGUGUCUAACCUUUUCUAACCUUAGUCGUUCGAGAUGUCAAACUCUAUCAGCCAAUUGUGACAUACUCUUCACAAAAGUUGGGUCUAUUUUCUUCCUAAUGGAAUAAUCUAACCCCCAGCAGCCAUCUGAACAAGUUCAUAUUCUGGUACUUGCGUAAAGCACCUGGCCUUUAAUGAUCUGAAUCUAUUCAGAUAAUCGUUGAUGCUCUCAGCAAACCUUCUCUUAAUACUAGACAAUUCCGCCAAACUAAUUUUGGAGUGUCCUUCGUAAAACUGUUCAUGGAACUUCUUUUCUAACAUGGCCCAAGAAUCAAUCGAACUUGGGGCCAAAGAAGUGAACCAUGUGAAGGCAGCCUUAGUCAGAGAGGAAGGAAAGUUUUUUACUCUCAAACAAUCAUUAUGAGCUAAAUCUCCUGACUCUGUUAGGUAUCUGGCAAUAUGCUCUAUUGUCGACUCACCAGAUUCUCCCCCAAACUUAGUGUACUUAGGCACUUUCAUUCCUCUAGGUGCCUCGGUUUGGAUGCAAUAUGCUCUAUUGUCGACUCACCAGAUUCUCCCCCAAACUUAGUGUACUUAGGCACUUUCAUUCCUCUAGGUGCCUCGGUUUGGAGAAUAAAUUCAGCCAACGGGGAAGCAUAUAAUGGCCUUUUCAAUGUAGCACUCAUACCAUUCCUAGCCAUAAUCCUUUCGACAAUAGUUUUCAAAUUAUUUUCUACUGCUAAGUCUUCUUGUCGAUGUUGAUCGACAAUUUGAUCAGCAUCUUGGUGUCGGUUAACCAACACCAUUUGGUUACGCCCUUCUACUCCUGAUUCAACGCAUUGAUUUUGCUGGGGUCUAAGGAUUUGUCCCUCGUGGACUGUCUCAUCUUCUGCUGCCCCUAUCUCCAUCUAAACAGGAGCGGUUUGUCUAACCACUUGUGCCAUCUGUUGAGCCGGUGCCCCAGAAAAUUACACAAGCGCAUCAAUUGAUUCGCCACCUGCCUAUUUGUUUCAACAGACUCCUGUAUCACAGGAUUAAAAACUGUACCCAUUUGAUUAGUUAACAUAUUAACCAACUCAUGGUUACUAUCAUCCAUUUGUUGCCUCAACACCGCUAUUGAAGUGUUCGACAGCGGCAUGGUUCUAUUAUGAGUAUUAUUCCUAUUCUGAACAUUGCCCCCUUGCGCUGAUCCUUGCAAGGAGGGAUUAGUAUUUUGAGCAUUGUCUAAAAACAAUGUUGCACUUGAUAUCGACUGAUAUCCUGGCAUUAAGGAAUACAACAUUCCAUAAAGAGGGUAUGUGGUGCCAAAGCGAGGCACAUAAGGUCUAAACGUCGUUAUCAUUGAUCCUGAACCUCCCGGUGGAGGUAAAGGGACCGAUGCUCCAACCGCACCCGUAGUCGACAUCGUUGAGGUUGCACUUGUCAUCGGCGGUAAAGUUGCAACCUGCGAGAUUACUGUUUCCGUAGUGGAUAAAGUCCCUUGUGGCACUUCAUUUGUAUUGGAGUUUGACAUUUUCAAAGUUUCUUGUGGCUUACUAUAUAGUUUGCCACUUCUAAGUUUCAUGCAAUUUCGUAACUGCACUGGCACCGUCCCACUGGGCGUGCCAUUUUGUUUACUGUGGAAAUUGGUAAACAACCGCUGGUCCUCCCUAAGCCUUACAACUGAGGGUUACUUGCAGGAUCGACCAGUUGAUCCUAAGACAUGUGCUAGUGUGACAGAGUGGCUUAUUCAAUUCGACAGAUAAUCAGCUUUGUGAGGAACGGCUCCUGACAAAGUAUUGAACAAGCGCAGGUUUUUUCCACACGAAAUGUUAAAUGAUGCUAUAGCCUAUGGGUGACUCGUGACCGACAGCACUACAACAUUCAAAAGACGUACACGAUGCACACGUUUUUGGUGAACUCUAUUAUCGUAAUAGAAUCAGUGUCGACAGCGUAGACGACAACGUAAAGUGAUAACUCAAAGGUAAAUGAAAUUAAAAUAAAGUGUUCAACGGGAACAAUUGAAAAAUAAGGAAGUUGCAUUGAAAUAAAUAUGGUGAUUCACGUACAUAGCACUCUUAAAAACCCUUGCUUCCUCGCGCUGGGAAUGAGAAGUUUUUUACAAGUGAUUUUAGUACAAGGUGAACACCUCGAGCCCCUCGUGGGAUAUCCUAUUUAUAAUAAACUAAAGAAACUGCCUACAGGCAAGAACUUCUAAAAAAUAACAGACGUCGUGUCACACGAUCUACAAACUGCUCCAUACACGUUCUGCAAACUGCUCCAUAUUUUGGCGCUUAUUCUCCUUGUAACUGCUAGUCCUUUUAAGUUUCAAACUUCUCCCGCCCAGGUAUUUAGGUCGACCCUGUCUCCUAUGUGUUUGACGCAACUAGAAAUUCCUUAAGUCCCAGUCUUCAGUUCAGUCGACAUAAUGGGUUUUCGACCAAACAUGAUUCUUCUGUCGGUUUCAUCUCCUGGUGACUUAUGUUUUUCUCAACUCUUGCUUAUCUUAGGCACAUCUCCACCCCUUGAUGGGGUAUAAACCUUAAAUUCAUAAGGCACUUUCAUUGAUUACGCCUUCAACAUGCCUUAUAGAUUUCUUGUGGUAACAACAUGCCAAAAUUUAUUGUGAUAACUUGGAUGGCGUACGAUAUUUCUAAUUAUUCCUUUUAUACAAAAACAAAAUAUGAUUGUAGUACAAUGAAAAAUAGUGGGAUAAUGGUUGAGGUCAAAUCCAUGUAUUUCUCUAGUUCGAGAAAUAAGAAUUUUAUUUUGGCAACCAUCACAUUCUAUGGUGUCAUUGAGAAAAUUUUAGAGAUUGAUUAUGUUAUUUUCAAAGUGUCUUUAUUUCAAUGCAAGUGGGUUCCCAAUAAUAAUGAUGUAUAAACUGUUGAGUUAGGAUUCACACGGAUUGACAUUGGCAAGAAAACUUAUAACAUUAAACCAUUCAUCAUGGCUACGAAAGCAAAACAAGUUUUUUAUGUGACAGAUCCUACGGACUUAUCAAGGAGAUGGUCAAUUGUUCUCAGAGAAAAACACAUUCCUCAUAAUGAUGAUAAAAGUUUUGAUAUUCCUAUCACUCAUUCUGCAACACAAAUGUCUAUUUCAUAUGAAGAAGUUGAUAGAGAUUAUGUACAUGUUAUUUGUAACGAUCAUCAAGAAGGAAUAUGGGAAAAUUAACAAGUAAGCAUUUUAUAUUUUUUAUUCAUAAUUUAUUGUAUGUUAUAAUUUCUAAUUAUGUUAUUUUUUAACAACUAUUAUUAUUUAAAAUUAUAGGCGUUUAAAGUCAAGACACCAAGAGACAAGACAUCAAGAAUAUAAUUUUUGGUCUAAUUCAAUUUAUAAAUGAGUGUAGUGUUGUUUCUAGUAUGAUAUGAUUCUAAAAUAUUCUGCUUGCUGGGAUUCGAAUCCACUAUCUAUAAAUUAUUUCAAAACAGUAUUUUUUACUCGUUGUUAUAAAUAGUGUGUUACCUAACUUAUAACCACAAUCAGUCGUCUAUUAUGAAAACCAACAUACAUAUAAUUAUAAAAUAUCUAACAACUGAUGAUGAAGCCGUCAUUAUACGUGUUUUAAAACCGAUAUUUCAUAUAUUUUCCAUACUAGUAGAUUAUAACACUAUAAAUAUAGAGCACUAGAACGAGAAGAAAAAAUUAGAACGAGAAGAAAAAAAAACGAUUUAAAGUUUCUACAUGCCUUUGACUAGUUCUAACACUCCAACUACUUAUGAACUUUGGUGGAUUUGAUAAAGAUUUGUCGCUCUUGUAUUCCACUCAAUUCUAAUUGGUUCAACCUUAAUUCGAGUGCUCAUGACUAUCACUAACCAUUUAACUAAACAAUUAUUCUAGUUUUUAUGAAGCAUAGCACCGAAGAAACUCGAAAAACUACCUAGAGCCACAUCAAAAAUGUAAUUGAGACAAUGAGACAGAGAUUGAUGGGUUCCAAUCCCUUUAAAUUAUAAAAUUAUCUCUAAUUUUCUAUUUCAAUAAUUCUUUUCAAUUAUUACACAACUCCAAUUUUUUCCAUCUGAAAACACUCUUAACAAUUAAAUCAAAAUCAAAAUAGAGCGCUUGAAAAUUGCACUAUUAUUAUUGGCCACUGACCAAUACAAGAAGACACUAAUGUUUCAACUUUUAGUGUAAAAUGACAAUAACCAAUGCUUGAUUUCUUCUUUAAUAAGAUGAGAUGAGAUGAGAUGAGUCCUAUCCAAGUCCUGUGUGGUGGUAAUAAACUCUCCUUAAUACAUGUGGAGCUGGAAAAACCUUCAACUCCAACCUCAAAGUCUAUGCUUAAGAGUGACUAAGAAAUCCAUGCACUCUAUGGUUGCCACGUGGCAGCUUGGUAAUCUUCAUUGUGUGGAUGUUAUGGUUUCUGUGACCAAUCCUAUUGUUACACCCUAUCAAUUGAUCAGCUAUUAUAAGUCCCUCAGUUUGAUCACAAACUUGCAAUACAAUAAUUUCCUUCAACUUCAACUACCUUCCUCUUUUGUGCUACACCAAUCAAAUAACAUAUCCAUGGCUGCUGCAGUCUCCACUAUUGGAGCUGUCAAAACUCCUGUAUGAUAUGCUUUUACAUCUUUCUUAUAUAUUCUCAUAUGCAUGUUUAUAUAUACCUUACGUUUACAUAGGUUUGUUUGUCAAUAAUUACAUGCUUAUGCUUCAAAUCAAGUUACAUAAAUUAUAUCAUGUUUCUUUUUCUUUUAUUGCUAGUACUAUCUUAUACAUUACUGCAGUGUAUAGUACUGGCUAAUUAUGUUUUUGAUUGGAUUCUUGUGAUGUUUUGCUGAUAUAUAGUGGUGCUUAACUCAAGAGUUGAUAUGAAUGUUUAAUAACCCAUUUAUAGAUACAAUAUUAGAAAGGUGGUUAAGUUGUCCUAUACUCCUGCUUUGAUAUAAUUUGAUGCAUGAUAUAAGAUAUUCUUAGCCUCUUGGAAUUGACUUAUUUAAGUUUAUUUAGUAGACUGUUUGUGAUAACUUAUAGAUGUUUAUGACAUAUUUGUAGCUGUUUUUUAAACCUAAUUUCAUAAAUUUUACGAACUUGUUGAUACAACUUAUAAUUUAUAUGAAAGUAGUUUGAUUUUUUUUACUUGUUUUCGUGAUCCACUUGAAAAAAUCUCAUCAAGUUUGAUUUUUAUGCAUGUUACGUUGUGAUCCACUAAAUUUUUUCACUUAACUUGGAACACACUUUUUCACAUGAAUGUUUUUUCAUUAUAAAAAAAGUAAUUUAGAAUAGAUAAGAAAGUAAAACUAGGGGGAGGUGAUUGUAAUUUGGAUUAACUGAACUCUUACUGUGAUGUGGCAGAUGAGCUUGAAUGGCUCAGUAGUAGCAGGACCUUCAGCUUCCAGUUCAUCUUUCUUCGGAACAAGCUUGAAGAAGAUUAAUUCAAGGCUUCCAAACACUAAGGUUUCCUCUGGAAGUUUCAAAAUUGUUGCUGCUGCAGAGAUCGAGCCUGAAAAGCAGACAGACGGAGACAGAUGGAGGGGUUUGGCCUAUGAUAUUUCAGAUGACCAACAAGACAUCACAAGAGGAAAGGGUUUGGUUGAUUCUGUUUUCCAGGCUCCACAAAAUGCUGGAACUCAUUAUGCUAUCAUGAGUUCUUAUGAAUACCUUAGCACUGGACUUAAACAGUGAGUGGCUUGUUACACAAUUUUGUGAAUUCAAAACCAAAUAAAAUAGUCUUUUGGUCUAAAAUUUGUGAUGAUGAAUGUGUUUUAGGUACAACUUUGACAACACUAUGAGUGGUUUUUACAUUGCUCCUGCUUUUAUGGACAAGCUUGUUGUUCAUAUCACUAAGAACUUCAUGACCUUGCCAAACAUCAAGGUAUGUAAAUUAGGCACAUGAUUUCUCUAUAAACUAUACUAGGACUUUAGUAGAAUUGUGAUACAUGUUCACUGUUUUUGUUUUUGUUUUUGUUUUUAUAGGUUCCUCUCAUUCUUGGUGUCUGGGGAGGCAAAGGACAGGGAAAAUCUUUCCAAGCUGAGCUUGUUUUUGCCAAGAUGGGAAUCAAGUGAGUUCUAACUAUACUAGCCAAUUUCAUGCACAACUUAUGAGUCAACAUGCUUUCUUGUUACAUGGUACUUACGCUACGUAACUCAUGUCUGUUUGAUGUUGAAAUUGUGCUAACAGCCCCAUUAUGAUGAGUGCCGGAGAGCUUGAAAGUGGAAAUGCAGGAGAGCCAGCAAAACUGAUCAGACAGCGAUACCGUGAAGCUGCUGACAUAAUCAAGAAGGGAAAGAUGUGUGCUUUGUUCAUCAAUGAUCUUGAUGCAGGAGCAGGUCGUAUGGGUGGAACCACCCAAUACACUGUCAACAACCAGAUGGUGAAUGCCACACUCAUGAACAUUGCUGAUAACCCCACAAAUGUCCAACUCCCUGGUAUGUACAACAAGGAAGAAAAUGCUCGUGUUCCCAUCAUCGUCACAGGUAACGAUUUCUCAACAUUGUAUGCUCCUCUCAUCCGUGAUGGACGUAUGGAGAAAUUCUACUGGGCUCCUACAAGAGAGGACCGUAUUGGUGUCUGUACCGGAAUAUUCCGCCAUGACAAUAUCGCAAAUGAGGACAUUGUCAAGCUUGUUGACACCUUCCCUGGCCAAUCCAUCGGUAAUCUAUCUAUCUAUUUGUUUGUCUGUGUAUUUAUCUGUGUGUAUGAUAUUGACAAUCAUUGUAAACACAAUCUCAUUCAUGUGCUGCUAGUGCAGAUUUCUUUGGUGCAUUGAGGGCUAGAGUGUACGACGACGAAGUGAGGAAGUGGAUUUCUGGGAUAGGUGUUGAAGGAAUUGGAAAGAGGCUUGUGAACUCAAAGGAAGGACCACCGGAAUUCGACCAGCCAAAGAUGACACUAGAAAAGCUGUUGGAAUAUGGUAACAUGCUUGUCCAAGAACAAGAGAAUGUGAAGAGAGUCCAAUUGGCAGACAAGUAUUUGAGUGAGGCUGCUCUUGGUGAUGCUAAUGAAGAUGCUAUCAAAAGGGGAACUUUCUAAAAUGCAGACUCUUAAACAAGAGGCCUUUGUUGGAGGUUUGUACUUUCCUUGAUGUAACUCCAUUUUGAUCAUAAUUAGAAAAACUUGGUCUAAAAUUACUUUGUUGUUUUCUUUGCAGAUAUUGCUAUGUUCCUGUUCUUGAUUCAAAAGCCUCAAACUUUGAUCCAACUACUUGAAGUUGUGGUGGCACGUAACAUUCUCAAUGUAUCAUUUUGGUGGAAGGAAAAGAUUCCAAGUUUGAGAUGAUUUUAUAAUAUUUUUCUUUUUGGAGUGUCUCCCUUUGUAAUUUUGUUAUAUGUACAAUGUUAAAUUUGUAUUUGGAGCCUUUCUCUUUCUGCCUAUUACA